CCUACGGGCGGCAGCAGUGAGGAAUAUUGGUCAAUGGACGCAAGUCUGAACCAGCCAAGUAGCGUGCAGGAUGACGGCCCUCCGGGUUGUAAACUGCUUUUAGUUGGGAAUAAAAGGGGGCUCGUGAGCCCCGUAUUGUAUGUACCAUCAGAAAAAGGACCGGCUAAUUCCGUGCUAGCAGCCGCGGUAAUACGGAAGGUCCGGGCGUUAUCCGGAUUUUUUGGGUUUCAAGGGAGCGUAGGCCGGCUUGUAAGUCAGCUGUGAAAGUCCGCGGCUCCACCGUGGAAUUGCAGUUGAAACUGGCGGCCUUGAGUGCACACAGGGAUGCCGGAAUGCAUGGUGUAGCGGUG
rnacentral:rRNA from 1 species